GACGAACGCUGGCGGCGUGCUUAACACAUGCAAGUCGAACGGACAGGCCAUGCUCUUGUGGGGUGCUCGAGUGGCGAACGGGUGAGUAACACGUGAGUAACCUGCCCCUGACUUUCGGAUAACUUCAGGAAACUGGGGCUCAUACCGGAUAGGAGCUACUGCUGCAUGGUGGGGGUUGGAAAGUUUCGGCGGUUGGGGAUGGACUCGCGGCUUAUCCGCUUGUUGGUGGGGUAGUGGCUUACCAAGUCUUUGACGGAUAGCCGGCCUGGGAGUGUGACCGGCGACAUGGGUACUGAGGUACGGCCCAGACGCCUACGUGAGGCAGCAGGGGGGAAUAUGGCGCAGUGGGCGGAAGCCUGAGGCAGCAGCGCCGCGUGCGGGAUGACGGCCUUCUGGUGAUAAACCGCUGUCGCCGGAGACGAAGCGGUAGUGACGGUAAUGGGUAAAGAAGCACCGGCUAACUACGUG
rnacentral:rRNA from 1 species